UACAGGGGGUGCAAACGUUGCUCGGAAUUAUUGGGCGUAAAGCGCGCGUAGGCGGCUACUUAAGUCGGAUGUGAAAUCCCUGGGCUCAACCCAGGAACUGCAUUUGAAACUCCCUUUCUUGAGUGUCGGAGAGGAAAGCGGAAUUCCUGGUGUAGAGGUGAAAUUCGUAGAUAUCAGGAGGAACACCGGUGGCGAAGGCGGCUUUCUGGACGACAACUGACGCUGAGACGCGAAAGCGUGGGGAGCAAACAGG
rnacentral:rRNA from 1 species